ensembl:lncRNA
CGCUCGGUGCGUUGCAGCCGGGAGCGCCUGGCACCGCGCUGACCGUCCGCCCGUGGAGCCGGCAGCGGAGGACGAGCGGCGGCACGACGAGGACCGGGACGACGACGACGACGACGACGAGGACGACGACGACGACGAGGACGAGCGGAGCCUGCGGACGGCCCUCAAGAAGCUGCGGCUGGACGCGGCGCGGCGGCACGAGGACGAGGAGGAGCAGCAGCAGCAGCAGCACAACGACGACGACGACGACGACGAGGACGAGGAGGAGCGCAGCCUGCGGACGGCCCUCCAGGAGCUGCGGGUGGACGCGGCGCGGUGUGAGAGGACUGCAGGAGGACCGGCCGGUCUCUCACGGCACGGACGUUCCAGGUCUCCUGUCCUACCCCUCUGUGAAACAGCCUCGUGGACUUCUCCCACAUCCUAUUCUGAGGAGGCUCCCACCUAUGUCGAUGAUGUGACUGUUGAAGACCUCACAGGAUACCUGGAACACCACUUGUAUAUUCCAAAGAAAACGUCUGCCAUGGCAGCCUCACAGCAGGAGCCGGGCAGCGGUACUGCAGCUCGUCUGGCAGCUUUGCAGCUGAGUUGGGAAGUAGAAGAUGUGGCUGUGAAAGAAGAAUCCCUGACAGGACCCCCAUCACCAUCCCAGGACCCCCAUAGCCCACUGAUGAGGAACCUUGCAGCAAUCCACAUCUCAGGAUGGGCCUCCAGCUGUGCCCCAAUGCCUUCAUUAAAGACAGGAGAAUGAAUGAGCGUAACGGGGCACCUUUCCUCCUGACAUUGCCCACUGCCUGCGUGUUGGCUGUGCCACGAGUGCGACAUUUUGUCCUCGAGCUGUGAGUGCAGGUAUGUGUGCAUACGGGGGGGUGUGCAGAGAUGGUGCUGAGCAUCAGAGUGUGCACUGCACGUGGGCGUGUGCAUGGCGUCUGUGGGUGAAAGUUUUGCACGUGUGUGCGUGCAGAUGGCUGUGUGCAAGGCUGGAGCUGCGCUCGUGUGUUUGUGCACGUG